UACGUAGGUGGCAAGCGUUGUCCGGAAUUAUUGGGCGUAAAGCGCGCGCAGGCGGUUCUUUAAGUCUGAUGUGAAAGCCCACGGCUCAACCGUGGAGGGUCAUUGGAAACUGGAGAACUUGAGUACAGAAGAGGAAAGCGGAAUUCCACGUGUAGCGGUGAAAUGCGUAGAGAUGUGGAGGAACACCAGUGGCGAAGGCGGCUUUCUGGUCUGUAACUGACGCUGAGGCGCGAGAGCGUGGGGAGCAAACAGG
rnacentral:rRNA from 1 species